rnacentral:tRNA from 1 species
GCCUGUGUAGCUCAGUCAGUAGAGGAUCAGACUUUUAAUCUGAGGGUCCAGCCUUUAAGUCCCUGUCCAGGUA